AAGAGGUUGCUUUUCUGUAUAUUUUGCACAACACUAUGUCCUGCAUUUACAAUUGUGAAUUCAGUAUCUUCAAUAUGAUAACUUAGACAAUUUGUGAGUGAAAAUAGUAGUUAACUCUAUUUCAAAACUGCAUGAUAUCUUUUUAUAUUUAUAAACACUUUACCUUUUAACUUUUAACUGUAUUUAUUAAUAAAAUGCUUUUAUAAACUAUAGUAAUGUUCACGUUAUGUUCAAAAUUACAAGUUUUAAGAGAAAUAUUGGCAAAGACGGAUUCAGAAUUUGAAUUUUUUUGGUUCAGACUCGAAAUUCUAUCAUAUCCCAUCCAAUUUACUGGGUUCGAAAUCUGUCAUUUGUACUAAUUUAGUGAUUUUUUUUUUAAAA